rnacentral:misc_RNA from 1 species
GGGGAAGUCAGUACUCGCAGAAUUGGGGGGGUUAUGGGGUGAAUGAUGGAUCUUCGUAUGCUCAGCAGAAUUACUCUCAGGUACACCAGGGUUCAAAUUAUCAGCAUCCUGGUUACGUUCCUCCACCUCCUGCCACCAGAAAUCAGUAUCCACCUCCGCCUCCUCCUCCUGCGGAUUCUUCAUAUCCACCUCCCCCACCACCUUCUGGGCAGCCUCCUCCCCCUCCUGCUCCAAUGUAUUAUCCAUCUUCUCAGGACUCCCAGUAUAGCCAAAACCAUCCCUUGGAGCCCCCACCUCCACCCCCUCCACCUUCAUCUCCUCCAACUUCUGCUAUUCCUCCUCCUCCCCCACCUUCUCAGCCACCGUCCCCUCCGCCACCUCCUUCAUCAGUUCCCCCUCAGAAACAACGUAAUGAAAGCAGGCACAGUGUAGAGAAAAG